CUCAGAGGAUGAAGAGGGGAAGGGAGAGAUUAGGGGAGGCUCUGCUCAGCUGUGGGGCCACAGAAGGCAGGAUCGGUGAUGACCUCCACCAUGGCCUGGUCCUUUCUCCUCCUCACCCUCCUCGCUCACUGCACAGGGUCCUGGGCUCAGUCUGUGCUGACUCAGCCGCCCUCAGUGUCUGGGGCCCUGGGCCAGAGGGUCACCAUCUCCUGCACUGGAAGCAGCUCCAACAUCGGGCGUGGUAAUUAUGUGAGCUGGUACCAACAACUCUCAGGAACAGCUCCCAAACUCCUCAUCUAUGGAAAUAGCAAUCGACCCUCGGGAGUCCCAGAUCGAUUUUCUGGCUCCAAGUCUGGCAACACAGGCUCCUUGACCAUCACUGGGCUGCAGGCUGAGGACGAGGCUGAUUAUUACUGCUCAACGUGGGACAGCAGUCUCAAUGGUCGCUAUGGUAGCAGAAAGUCCUUGUCCUCAUGAACUAUGAAAAUUUACUUCCAUGCUAGUUUAUAUUCAUUUGUUGUCUUCUGAUCUUUCAAUGAGUGAAACAUCUUCUCCGUUCUGAGCCUCUCGAUGGGGCCUCAGCACUGUCCCUGCUCUACUAGAUGGGCAUGUCAACUCUCUCGGCAUCUGGUAUCAUUUUGCUUAGCUUUAACCAGAUGACCAGUUUCGCUUAUAUGCUGAUAUUUGUGGGGAAUACAGGAAACAUGCCGAACUGCAAAUUGAAAAGGUGAAAUAAAAACAAUCUGCCCAGAGCAAAUCCUGAA